rnacentral:rRNA from 1 species
UGGGCUUGACAUGCUUGGAUUAUCCCUAUGAAAGUAGGGUAGGCCCCUCGUGGGUACAACAAGUACAGGUGCUGCAUGGCUGUCGUCAGCUCGUGUCGUGAGAUGUCGGGUUAAGUCCCUUAACGAGCGAAACCUUUGCCCUUAGUUACCAUCGAGUAAAGUCGGGGACUCUAAGGGGACUGCCGGUGUCAAACCGGAGGAAGGUGGAGAUGACGUCAAGUCCUCAUGGCCUUUAUGCCCAGGGCCACACACGUGCUACAAUGGGGUGCAUAAAGCGAACCGAAAGCGCGAGCUCCAGGAAAUCGCAAAAAUCAUCCCCCAGUUCAGAUUGGAGGCUGCAACUCGCCUCCAUGAAGUUGGAAUCGCUAGUAAUCGCGGAUCAGCUACGCCGCGGUGAAUGUGUUCCUGAGCC